rnacentral:rRNA from 1 species
UACGUAGGGUGCGAGCGUUGUCCGGAAUUAUUGGGCGUAAAGAGCGUGUAGGCGGCCCGGUAAGUCCGCUGUGAAAGUCGAGGGCUCAACCCUCGAAUGCCGGCGGAUACUGUCGGGCUAGAGUCCGGAAGAGGCGAGUGGAAUUCCUGGUGUAGCGGUGAAAUGCGUAGAUAUCUGGAGGAACACCGGUGGCGAAGGCGGCAUCCUGGACCGACACUGACGCUGAGGAGCGAAAGCCAGGGAGCAAACGGG